rnacentral:rRNA from 1 species
AUUGAACGCUGGCGGCAGGCCUAACCCAUGCAAGUCGAGCGGAGCGGCGGACGGGUGAGUAAUGCCUAGGAAUCUGCCUGGUAGUGGGGGAUAACGUCCGGAAACGGGCGCUAAUACCGCAUACUAUCAGAUGAGCCUAGGCAGGAUUAGCUAUUUGGUGGGGUAAAGGCCUACCAAGGCGACGAUCAGUAACUGGUCUGUGAGGAUGAUCAGUCACACUGGAACUGAGACACGGGCCAGACUCCUACGGGAGGCAGCAGUGGGUAAUAUUGCACAAUGGGCGAAAGCCUUAUCCAGCCAUGUGGCGUGUGUGAAGAAGGUCUUCGGAUUGUAAAGCACUUUAAGUUGGGAGGCGUUACCAACAGAAGAAGCACCGGCUAACUUCGUGCCAGCAGCCGCGGUAAUAC